GGGAGGCCGGUCUUGGGGCUCACACAGGCCUAUCCCCGGCGCUGCUGCCAGCUGGCUAAUCUCUUGGCUGGGUUUCCUGGCUGACUCUCUUUGCAAGGAGAGGCCGUGACCAGUCAUGAGGCUUUCCCGAACCUGGGAGAGGGCGCAGAGAGACCCACGGGCCCCAGAGACACUGUCCUUGGGAUUGACGUUGCCUCAGCUCAGACUCUCAAGUCUGUUGAUUACACCAUUAAAUUAGAACAGUGCCUGGGACAUCGGUAAGUAUAUUCUAUUAUUAUCUUUAUU
rnacentral:lncRNA from 1 species